rnacentral:rRNA from 2 species
UGAUUAUGGCUCAGGAUGAACGCUAGCUACAGGCUUAACACAUGCAAGUCGAGGGGAAACGGCAUCGAAAGCUUGCUUUUGAUGGGCGUCGACCGGCGCACGGGUGAGUAACGCGUAUCCAACCUGCCCACCACUUGGGGAUAACCUUGCGAAAGUAAGACUAAUACCCAAUGACGUCUCUAGAAGACAUCUGAAAGAGAUUAAAGAUUUAUCGGUGAUGGAUGGGGAUGCGUCUGAUUAGCUUGUUGGCGGGGUAACGGCCCACCAAGGCGACGAUCAGUAGGGGUUCUGAGAGGAAGGUCCCCCACAUUGGAACUGAGACACGGUCCAAACUCCUACGGGAGGCAGCAGUGAGGAAUAUUGGUCAAUGGGCGAGAGCCUGAACCAGCCAAGUAGCGUGCAGGAUGACGGCCCUAUGGGUUGUAAACUGCUUUUAUAAGGGAAUAAAGUGAGUCUCGUGAGACUUUUUGCAUGUACCUUAUGAAUAAGGACCGGCUAAUUCCGUGCCAGCAGCCGCGGUAAUACGGAAGGUCCGGGCGUUAUCCGGAUUUAUUGGGUUUAAAGGGAGCGUAGGCCGGAGAUUAAGCGUGUUGUGAAAUGUAGACGCUCAACGUCUGCACUGCAGCGCGAACUGGUUUCCUUGAGUACGCACAAAGUGGGCGGAAUUCGUGGUGUAGCGGUGAAAUGCUUAGAUAUCACGAAGAACUCCGAUUGCGAAGGCAGCUCACUGGAGCGCAACUGACGCUGAAGCUCGAAAGUGCGGGUAUCGAACAGGAUUAGAUACCCUGGUAGUCCGCACGGUAAACGAUGGAUGCCCGCUGUUGGUCUGAACAGGUCAGCGGCCAAGCGAAAGCAUUAAGCAUCCCACCUGGGGAGUACGCCGGCAACGGUGCAACUCAAAUGAAUUGACGGA